AUGGAAUUCUAUUAUACCAAAGGGACUCGGUAAAGGCGAAGGCAGCCCUCUAUGUAAAAACUGACGUUGAAGGACGAAGGCACAGAGCACAAACAGGAUUAGAUACCCAAGUAGUCUUUGCAGUAAAUGAUGAAUGUCAUAGGUUAGAUUAAGCUUUAAUUAAUUAGUUUAUCAGUAAUGAACUAACUAUUAAACAAUAUUUAGUCUAUAAAUGAAAGUGUAAGCAUUCCACCUCAAGAGUAAUGUGGCAACGCAGGAACUGAAAUCACUAGACCGUUUCUGACACCAGUAGUGAAGUAUGUUGUUUAAUUCGAUGAUCCACGAAAAACCUUACCACAAUUUGAAUAUUUUACAGGAGUUGCACGGCUGUUUUCAGUUAAUGUUGUGAAACUGUGGUUUCCAUGAAAUUAACGCAAUCCCUGGCUUUAUUUUUUUUUUAUUACGAUAAAGCAUUUGAUCCAGGAUUUGGAAAGAAAAAGGGGACAAAGACAAGUCAUCAUGGCCUUGAUAUUGUGGGCUAUAGACGUGCCACAUAUUCCUACACAAAGAGAUGCAAAAAUGUGAAUUUAAGCUAAUCUCUAAAAAUAGGAUAUAAAUUUUAAGGAUUAUAGUCUGAAACUCGACUAUAUGAAUAAGUAAUUACUAGUAAUCGUGAAUCACCAUGUCACGGUGAAUUUACCUUGGAUUGGUACUAACCACUCGUCACAUGCUGAAAAGAGCAUGCGCAAUAAGUUUGCUUUCUUGAUGAUCAGUAAAAAGAAUAAGCAGGUUCUAUAUUCUAUUAUUAAG
rnacentral:rRNA from 1 species